GCCUUGGUGGUGCAGUGGUAGCACGCUCCUCCGGUAUGUGUGAAACGCGGGAUCAACUCCCGUCUGAGGUU